GACGUAGGUCGCGAACGUUAUCCGGAAUUAUUGGGCGUAAAGAGCUCGUAGGCGGUUUGUCGCGUCGGCCGUGAAAUCUCCACGCUUAACGUGGAGCGUGCGGUCGAUACGGGCAGACUUGAGUUCGGUAGGGGAGACUGGAAUUCCUGGUGUAGCGGUGAAAUGCGCAGAUAUCAGGAGGAACACCGGUGGCGAAGGCGGGUCUCUGGGCCGAUACUGACGCUGAGGAGCGAAAGCGUGGGGAGCGAACAGG
rnacentral:rRNA from 1 species